AGAUACCUUUCCAAGGUGGUGAUUUCAUCUUUUUUGGGUUCUUACAGGAGAAUGAGGGCCUGGAGUUUCCUACUCUGCCAUCUUGCUGCUGUCACCCUCAAUAUCUCUGUUUACCAAGAGGCUCUGAAAAUCUUCCCUGAUGAGUUAAUCUUCACCUACCACAUGAGUCUCCCUGUCUCAUGCUAUGAGGAUCACUUUCGGAGCAUCGUGGGACCUGCCUAACUGGACUUGAGUUUGCCUCACCCUGCCCUAGAUAUCCCUCUAGGGAGACUCUAUCCUUGAUGUUCAGAACUUUUAUAAACCUACCACUGUUGAUUAUUACUCAGACCUUGCUUGCCUCUCCCCUCAAGCCUUUUCUCAACUAGCACAGCCAGUAUCAGGACAUUUAUAAUUCAGCUCUUUAGGACAGAACUCAAUGCCCCAUAUUCUCUUGUGUUUACUAGUUCUUCUCCUCAUAUCACUUUUUCCCAGACAUCCAAUCUCCAAAUCAUUUGUCUUUGACAAACUUUCUUCUUUGCAACUCUAGAACCCUUUGCCACCUUAUUUUAUUCCAUCUCCAUGACAACUCCCAUCUGUUCCUCCAUUACCUAGCUCAAACAAAAUAUUCAUUUUUAUCUCUCUUGUUACUUGCCUUGACCCAGCUCAUCCUCUAACCAAAUUAAUCUGUGUGGUAUCUUUGCCAGUGACCCUUGCCCUCCCCCAUCCAGGCCUUUAUUCUGACUGUUCUCACAGAUGACAACAUUUUUCCCACACCGCUUCUGACUCCAAAGUUGUAUUCAGUUUUCAAAGCCAGUUUUCUAAUCUGUAAAAUGAAAUUAAUACCCAUGUCAUGAAGGAUUAAAUAAAUAAUGUGAGUAAGGCACUUGAAAUAUAAUUAUUGUU
rnacentral:lncRNA from 1 species